rnacentral:tRNA from 1 species
GGAGAGGUGUCUGAGUGGUUGAAGGUGCCGCUCUCGAAAAGCGGUGUGCCUGAAAGGGUACCGAGGGUUCGAAUCCCUCCCUCUCCGCCA